GCAUAUCAAUAAGCGGAGGAAAAGAUACCAAACAGGGAAUUGCCUCAGUAACGGCGAGUGAAGCGGCAACAGCUCAAAAUUUGAAAUCUGGCCUCUUUUGGGGUCCGAGUUGUAAUUUGUAGAGGAUGUUUCGGGUACCGCCUCGGUUUAAAUUUCUUGGAACAGAAUGUCAAAAGAGGGUGAGAAUCCCGUCUUGGACCGGCGGUAGGGCCCAUGUGAAACUCCUUCGACGAGUCGAGUUGUUUGGGAAUGCAGCUCAAAAUGGGUGGUAAAUUUCAUCUAAAGCUAAAUAUUGGCCAGAGACCGAUAGCGCACAAGUAGAGUGAUCGAAAGAUGAAAAGCACUUUGAAAAGAGAGUUAAACAGUAUGUGAAAUUGUUGAAAGGGAAGCGCUUGCAACCAGACUUGAGCGCGGCGGUUCCCCCUUCCUUUUGGUUGGGUUACUCCGCCGUGUCCAGGCCAACAUCGGUUUUGGGGGCCGGUUAAAGGCCCGGGGAAUGUAUCUACUCCUUCGGGGGUAGACUUAUAGCCCCGGGUGUCAUGCGGCCUUCCGGGACCGAGGAACGCGCUUCGGCUCGGAUGUUGGCGUAAUGGUUGUCAGCGACCCGUCUUGAAACACGGACCAAGGAGUCUAACAUCUAUGCGAGUGUUUGGGUGUCAAACCCGGAACGCGGAAUGAAAGUGAACGGAGGUAGGAAGCCUUUAGGCUGCACUAUCGACCGAUCCUGAUGUCUUCGGAUGGAUUUGAGUAAGAGCAUAGCUGUUGGGACCCGAAAGAUGGUGAACUAUGCCUGAAUAGGGUGAAGCCAGAGGAAACUCUGGUGGAGGCUCGCAGCGGUUCUGACGUGCAAAUCGAUCGUCAAAUUUUGGGUAUAGGGGCGAAAGACUAAUCCGAACCCAUCUGGUAGCUGGCUUCCUGUCGAAGUUUCCCCUCAAGG
rnacentral:rRNA from 1 species